GGGGGGGAAACCCACGACCAGUGCAACAGAGAGCAAACCGCCGAUGGCCCACGUAAGUGGGAUCAGGUAAGGGUGAAAGGGUGCGGUAAGAGCGCACCGCGCGGCUGGUAACAGUCCGUGGCACGGUAAACUCCACCCGGAGCAAGGCCAAAUAGGGGUUCAUAAGGUACGGCCCGUACUGAACCCGGGUAGGCUGCUUGAGCCAGUGAGCGAUUGCUGGC
rnacentral:RNase_P_RNA from 1 species